rnacentral:rRNA from 1 species
AGUAGCGGCGAGCGAAAGCGGAUAAACCCAUAGCACGGUGAACGACCUGGAAAGGUCGGCCAUAGCAGGUGACAGCCCUGUAGCCGCGUAGUGGGGUAGCCCUUGAGUAGCAUCGGGCCCGUGAAACCCGGUGUGAAUAUGGGGGGUCCACCCCCCAAGGCUGAAUACUACUCAACGACCGAUAGUUAACCAGUAGAGUGAUUGAAUGAUGAAAAGUUCCCCGAAAGGGAAGUGAAAAGUACCUGAAACCACACGCUUACAAGCGGUCGGAGCCCUUCGGGGUGACGGCGUGCCUCUUGCAUAAUGAGCCCACGAGUUAGCCUCUAUGGCAAGGUUAAGGUGUACACCACCGUAGCCGAAGCGAAAGCGAGUCUUAACCGGCGUCCAGUCGUAGGGGUUAGACGCGAAACCUUGUGAUCUACCCAUGGCCAGGUUGAAGGGAAGGUAACACUUCCUGGAGGACCGAACCCGUUAACGUUGAAAAGUUAUGGGAUGAGCUGUGGGGAGGAGUCAAAGUCUAAUCAAACUGGGAGAUAUCUCGUUCUCCUCGAAAUAGUUUUUGGGCUAGCCUUGCGUGACAGCGAACGGGGGUAGAGCUACUGAUAGGGGCUGGGGGGCUACCCGCCUACCCACCCCUCCCAAACUCCGAAUACCGUUCGCUCUUGUCGCAGGAGUCAGACUGCGGGUGAUAAUAUCCGUGGUCAAAAGGGAAACAACCCAGACCGCCAGCUAAGGUCCCUAAUAGAAUCUCAGUUCUUAAGGAAGUCAGGGUGCCGUGACAGCCAGGAUGUUGGCUUAGAAGCAGCCACCAUUUAAAGAGUGCGUAAUAGCUCACUGGUCGAGGAUUUUAGCGCCGAUAAUGAUCGGGAAUAAGACGCAAACCGAAGCUGCGGAAUUCGAAAGAAUUGGUAGAGGAGCGUUCUUGUCAGCGUCGAAGCAGAACGGGCAACGUUCUGUGGAGCGGCAAGAAGUGAUUAUGCCGGCUUGAGUAACGAUAAAACAGGUGAAAAUCCUGUUCGCCGAAAGAGUAAGGUUUCCUGGGCAAGGUAAAUCCGCCCAGGGUUAGUCGGAACCUAAGGCGAGGCCGAAAGGCGUAGUCGAUGGAC